AACCAGCUCUUCAAGUGGUCGGGAUAAUUAUUGGGCUUAAAGUGUCCGUAGCCGGUUUGGUAAGUUCCUGGUAAAAUCGGGUAGCUUAACUAUCUAUAUGCUAGGAAUACUGCUAUACUAGAGGGCGGGAGAGGUCUGAGGUACUACAGGGGUAGGGGUGAAAUCUUGUAAUCCUUGUAGGACCACCAGUGGCGAAGGCGUCAGACUGGAACGCGCCUGACGGUGAGGGACGAAAGCCAGGGGAGCGAACCGGAUUAGAUACCCGGGUAGUCCUGGCUGUAAACGAUGCAUACUAGGUGAUGGCACGGCCAUGAGCCGUGUCAGUGCCGUAGGGAAACCGUUAAGUGUGCCGCCUGGGAAGUACGGUCGCAAGGCUAAAACUUAAAGGAAUUGGCGGGGGAGCACCACAAGGGGUGAAGCCUGCGGUUC
rnacentral:rRNA from 1 species